CAGCGCUCCAAAUGUCCCCGUGCAGUUUCUACAGAAAGAGUGUUUCAGAAUUGCUGAAUCAAAAGGGAGGUUCAACUCUGUGAUUUGAAUGCACAGAACUGAAGGAAGUUUCGCAGAAUGCUUCUGUGUUGUUUUUAUUUGAAGGCAUCACUUUUUCCAAUACAGGCCCCUUAGCGCUCCGAAUAUCCGCUUGCCGAUUCUACAGAGAGAGUGUUUCAGAACUGCUGAAUAAAAGCCCCUUAGUGCUCCGAUUGUCCGUUUGCAGUUUCUACAGAAAAAGUGCUUCAGAACUGCUCAAUCAAAAGCCACUUUGCGCUCCGAAUGUCCACUUGCAGUUUCUACAGAAAGAGUGUUUCAGAACUGCUCA